UGACUGAUGAGGUUAUUUGAGGCCAUUAGUAUGUGAAGUGCAAUUGUUAUAUUUGUGAGUCUAUCAUUUGCAAGCGAUAGGAAGGAGAGAGGUUUAUAAUUGUUUAGUACCUUUGAUAACUGACCAUGUAACUGAUUGGAAUAUAGCCUUACUGAUCGUGCUAGUUAUUGGCUAAUUUGUUUAUUAGGUUCAAUUUGUGAUCAGCCCCACGAUAGUAACUGUGGGAGUUGAUUCUCAGAGCCCAACUAAUAUUGUUUAGUGUUUGGUGAGGUUCACAAUUCAAUGCUGUGAUACUUUUAGUCACUAGAUGUCUGAAAAAUAUCUAGGUUGUAUGCUUGUGUUUUCA
rnacentral:lncRNA from 1 species